AGUCGACACGAGUCUGCAGAUUUCCCCAAGCGGACUCAAACCACUGCAACUUGUGGUGGAAUAGCUUUAUAAUGCUUGAAAGCCUCGUUUCCUGAAAUAGAUAGGCAAAAAGUAUCGAAACGUCAGCCAGUUUUACAGACUAUUGGAGGAGGAUGCCACGUGCGGUUAUAACAUCUGCCAUUCGGACCUGGCCAUCCGCGCCUGGGCACACUAGUUGGAUCCGCCCAAGACGCCAUUUAUUUGGUGAUUCCCAAAGGCAAUGAUGUAACGUAUCUGGACGACUAACCUGGAGAAGACGCAUCGAACGCAAGAAAGUACAUGUAAAGCUAAAAGCCAGCAGCUUCCACUUUAUUCUUAAGACUUGUUCACCCCUGCUUCCUUUGCAGUUAUAAGAAAUAAUCAACGUUAGAAACACCGUGUUAAAUUUUAAAGGACUUUUGCUAGCUUCACUGAUAUUAAAAAGAAAAUGAUUUCAAUAUUAUUAAAAAUUUUAUUUCCACGCAUAGGAGUUUUUAUAUUUAAAAACACCAAAGAUAUAAUUUUUUUAAACUUUUUUUUCUGAUUAUUUUUACUGGAGCUAUAAAAUAUAGUUGUCAAAUCCGGCUGGUUCCGACUUUAAUAUAAAAUUAAAUAUAAAAGACAUUUAAUGGAGACCAACGAGUAGGUCGCACAUCCUCUAUACAGAAAUUUUGAAUAAAAUAAGUCAUGAAUAAUAAUUAGUUAUGAAUAAAUUAGUCCAGAUAAUUGUAAUACUUUGGCUCAUGGUCAUUAUAAUAUUGACCAUAUAUUAAGUAGUGAGAGGAGUUGAAUAACUCCACACAAAUGUCAGCAGCAGUAGGCGGCGAAAAUCGUAUAGUAAUGGCGCAGCGAAGAGCGAAUAAAGUUUGGAUAUCUUGUUGGAGAGCAAGAGUGUUUGGAGACCAAGGAUGGAGAAAAACAAAGCGAAGAUUUGGCGGGCAAAACGAGAGUUCAGUGUGCAAA